CCAUUUGAAUGGAAACAGGAAGAAGACCUUUUUUACGCAUUUUCACUUUGUCGAUAACAAAAUAGCGCGAAAAGUGGAUGGAAACUAGGCUAUUGGCAGACGCUCGUGAAUGUCGCUCGUCAUUUGCAUAAAGUUUAAAUUUUCUCAACUUGUCUUGUUGCUCUUCACGGCGAUCUCUGUCGCCAACGGCCGUGGUAGCUCGUGUCGCCGGAAGUCGCUGUGCUCUCAUUGAAAAUGAAUAGGAUCGUGUUUCCAAACCCUGCAAUUUUAUGUAUUUAUUUGUGUAUAUUCAUUUAUAUUACUUAAUAUGGAUAAUAUAUAAUAUAUUGUAGCUUUUGUUUAAAUAUUGUGUAUUUUUCAUAUGUAUAAUAUUUAAUAAAAAGUGGCAACAGGCUAUUGUUCGCUUACGGAGAUAUAUAAAUGUAAGCGUUCUAACUGUAUUAUGUUUAGGUGUAAUUUUGUUGUUGUCCAGCAGGUGUCCUGCAGGAGUCCGUCAAUUUACGGUGCAAUUGGCAAUCUACCAUUCCUCCAGUCCAAAGCGCCUGUAGAUCUAUAAUGAUUUUCAAGAGCAAAGACUUUGACAGCAUUAGCAGGCCUACUUAUUCACUUGAGUUGUAAGUCAGACGAUAACGAACAGACCAACUGAUGACAAAAAGGUGGUUAAAGGGAUGAAUGUAUUAUCACUCUUGGUGGUUACAGAAGGGAAUCUUGCAAACCAUCUCCUAAAGCAGAUCACUGAAGUGACAUUGGUUUUCAAAGAGAUAUUUCUGAGUGAUUUAAAGGAUGUCACAUAUGCUUUUGCUGUACUUAUGGGGCUUCUUAUCCCCAAACAUCAAUUAACCAAGACGCUGAAAUACACAUGAUUUGAGGUAAUCCAAUUAAUUGUCUUAAAGAUUGCUGUUGUAUAGCAAUCUCAAACGCUUUGAAGUUUCACUAUAUUUGUGGGGACAUUUUCAAACAUUUGGCUCUCACAAAACUAAAGCUAAUAGGCUAUACAUAUAUGCUUUGUGUCUUAGCCAGAGAAUGCAGUAACUUUUUCUGUUGUAAACUUAAAAUAAACUUGAAUGUUAAUGUGCUCUUUUAUUGUUAUGAUGGUUUAUUUGUGUCACACCAGUCAUGCCAGAAUAGCUAGAUAGAAGGCUUUGUCAUGUUAACUUAUGUUAAAGAGUAUAUAUCAUAAUUUUUAUUAAUUUUAAGGCAACCAAGUCAUAGACAGUUGUUAUAACAAACUAUAGUUGAUCUGAAUUAAGCUUUAGUAAACAUCAUUUAAAAAUAGGCAUUGCAAUUAUAAAUAUGUUUAAAGUUGAGUUAGCUUUUAUAAGGUUACUGAUAUGACUGGAAUCUUUAUCUCAUGUGAGUGCAUAUGAUUUUUAUUAACAAUUAAUUUGUUGUUGAGUUAUUUAGUUCACAGAAUUUUCUAAAUGUUAUUCUAGUCCUGUUGACUGUUCAU